rnacentral:rRNA from 1 species
UUAAGCCAUGUGCGAGUCGAGAGGUGCAAGACCUCGGCGCACUGCUCAGUAACACGUGGACAACCUACCCUGUGGAGGGGGAUAACCCCGGAAAACUGGGGAUAAUACCCCAUAGGUUAGGGAGGCUGGAAUGCCCCCUAGCUCAAAGGUCCGCCGCCACAGGAUGGGUCUGCGGCCGAUUAGGUUGUUGUUGGGGUAACGGCCCAACAAGCCUUUGAUCGGUACGGGUUGUGGGAGCAAGAGCCCGGAGAUGGAUUCUGAGACACGAAUCCAGGCCCUACGGGGCGCAGCAGGCGCGAAAACUUUACAAUGCGAGAAAUCGUGAUAAGGGAACCCCGAGUGCCCGUAAAUUCGGGCUGUCCGCCAGUGCAAAAAACUGGUGAAGAAAGAGCCGGGCAAGACCGGUGCCAGCCGCCGCGGUAAUACCGGCGGCUCGAGUGGUGGCCACUAUUACUGGGCUUAAAGCGUCCGUAGCUUGGUUGUUAAGUCUCCUGGGAAAUCCAUCGGCUCAACCGAUGGGCGUUCAGGAGAUACUGGCAACCUAGGGACCGGGAGAGGUGAGAGGUACUCCAGGGGUAGGAGUGAAAUCCUGUAAUCCUUGGGGGACCACCUGUGGCGAAGGCGUCUCACUAGAACGGCUCCGACAGUGAGGGACGAAAGCUGGGGGAGCAAACCGGAUUAGAUACCCGGGUAGUCCCAGCUGUAAACGAUGCGCGUUAGGUGUAUCGGUGACCACGAGUCACCGAGGUGCCGAAGAGAAAUCGUGAAACGUGCCGCCUGGGAAGUACGGUCGCAAGGCUGAAACUUAAAGGAAUUGGCGGGGGAGCACCACAACAGGUGGAGCCUGCGGUUUAAUCGGACUCAACGCCGGGAAGCUCACCGGAUAAGACAGCUGAAUGAUAGCCGGGUUGAAGACUCUGCUUGACUAGCUGAGAGGAGGUGCAUGGCCGCCGUCAGUUCGUACCUAAGUAA